rnacentral:rRNA from 1 species
AGAGUUUGAUCAUGGCUCAGAUUGAACGCUGGCGGCAGGCCUAACACAUGCAAGUCGAGCGGCAGCACGGGAAGCUUGCUCCCUGGUGGCGAGCGGCGGACGGGUGAGUAAUGCAUAGGAAUCUACCCGGUCGUGGGGGAUAACCUGGGGAAACCCAGGCUAAUACCGCAUACGUCCUACGGGAGAAAGCGGAGGAUCUUCGGACUUCGCGCUAUCGGAUGAGCCUAUGUCGGAUUAGCUAGUUGGUAAGGUAACGGCUUACCAAGGCGACGAUCCGUAGCUGGUCUGAGAGGAUGAUCAGCCACACUGGGACUGAGACACGGCCCAGACUCCUACGGGAGGCAGCAGUGGGGAAUAUUGGACAAUGGGCGAAAGCCUGAUCCAGCCAUGCCGCGUGUGUGAAGAAGGCUUUCGGGUUGUAAAGCACUUUCAGCGAGGAAGAAAGCCUCUGGGUUAAUACCCCAGAGGAAGGACAUCACUCGCAGAAGAAGCACCGGCUAACUCCGUGCCAGCAGCCGCGGUAAUACGGAGGGUGCGAGCGUUAAUCGGAAUUACUGGGCGUAAAGCGCGCGUAGGUGGCUUGGCACGCCGGUUGUGAAAGCCCCGGGCUCAACCUGGGAACGGCAUCCGGAACGGCCAGGCUAGAGUGCAGGAGAGGAAGGUAGAAUUCCCGGUGUAGCGGUGAAAUGCGUAGAGAUCGGGAGGAAUACCAGUGGCGAAGCGGCCUUCUGGCCUGACACUGACACUGAGGUGCGAAAGCGUGGGUAGCAAACAGGAUUAGAUACCCUGGUAGUCCACGCCGUAAACGAUGUCGACUAGGCCGUUGGGACCUUUAAGGACUU